rnacentral:rRNA from 1 species
UACGUAGGGUGCAAGCGUUGUCCGGAAUUAUUGGGCGUAAAGAGCUCGUAGGCGGUCUGUCGCGUCGGCUGUGAAAACCCGGAGCUCAACUCCGGGCCUGCAGUCGAUACGGGCAGACUGGAGUUCGGCAGGGGAGACUGGAAUUCCUGGUGUAGCGGUGGAAUGCGCAGAUAUCAGGAGGAACACCGGUGGCGAAGGCGGGUCUCUGGGCCAUUACUGACGCUGAGGAGCGAAAGCGUGGGGAGCGAACAGG